ACGAGCAUGGUGUAGUGGUUAGCAUCUCACCUUCCCAAGGUGAGGACUUGGGUUCGAAUCCCGAUGCUCGAA